rnacentral:rRNA from 1 species
UACGUAGGUGGCGAGCGUUGUCCGGAAUUACUGGGUGUAAAGCGCGUGUAGGCGGGAGGCCAAGUCUGUGGUGAAAUCGCUCGGCUUAACUGGGCGGGGUCCAUGGAAACUGGUCACCUGGAGGUCGGUAGAGGCAAGUGGAAUUCCCGGUGUAGUGGUGAAAUGCGUAGAGAUCGGGAGGAACACCGGUGGCGAAGGCGACUCUUUGGCCUGUAACUGACGCUGAGGCGCGAAAGCGUGGGGAGCAAACAGG